rnacentral:rRNA from 1 species
AAUAGAUACCCAGGUAGUCCACGCCGUAAACGAUGAGUGCUAGGUGUUAGGGGGUCCAACCCUUAGUGCCGAAGUUAACACAUUAAGCACUCCGCCUGGGGAGUACGGUCGCAAGACUGAAACUCAAAGGAAUUGACGGGGGCCCGCACAAGCGGUGGGGCAUGUGGUUUAAUUCGAAGCAACGCGAAGAACCUUACCAGGGCUUGACAUCCCUCUGACCGCUCUAGAGAUAGAGCUUCUCUUCGGAGCAGAGGUGACAGGUGGUGCAUGGUUGUCGUCAGCUCGUGUCGUGAGAUGUUGGGUUAAGUCCCGCAACGAGCGCAACCCUUGUCCUUAGUUGCCAGCAUUCAGUUGGGCACUCUAAGGAGACUGCCGGUGACAAACCGGAGGAAGGUGGGGAUGACGUCAAAUCAUCAUGCCCCUUAUGUCCUGGGCUACACACGUGCUACAAUGGCUGGUACAAAGGGUAGCGAACCCGCGAGGGGAAGCCAAUCCCAAAAAGCCAGUCACAGUUCGGAUUGUAGGCUGCAACUCGCCUA